rnacentral:tRNA from 1 species
GGAUGCGUGCCCGAAUACCAAGGAUUACUUUGAUAGAGUAAAUCACAGCGGUUAUCCCCCUUUGCCUCCU